GGCGAGAUAGCUCAGUUGGUUAGAGCGNNGCAUGAUUCAUAAUCAUGAGGUCCGGGGAUCAUUCCCCCGUCUCGCUACAA
rnacentral:tRNA from 1 species